GGUGAACGCUGGCGGCGUGCUUAAGACAUGCAAGUCGAACGGCAGUCUUCGGACUGUAGUGGCGCACGGGUGAGUAACGCGUAACUGACCUACCCCAAAGUCGCGGAUAACGAUUCGAAAGAAUCGCUAAUACGUGAUGUGCUGUCAGAUUGUGUUCUGCCAGUAAAGAUUGAUUGCUUUGGGAUGGGGUUGCGUUCCAUCAGCUAGUUGGUGGGGUAAAGGCCCACCAAGGCGACGACGGAUAGCCGGCCUGAGAGGGUGGCCGGCCACAGGGGCACUGAGACACGGGUCCCACUACUACGGGAGGCAGCAGUUAGGAAUCUUCCACGAUGGGCGAAAGCCUGAUGGAGCGACGCCGCGUGAGGGAUGAAGGUCUUCGGAUCGUAAACCUCUGAAUCAGGGACGAAAGACACUUCGGUGGGAUGACGGUACCUGAGUAAUAGCACCGGCUAACUCCGUGCCAGCCGCCGCAGUAAUAC
rnacentral:rRNA from 1 species